rnacentral:lncRNA from 1 species
GAGACCUAAGAUGGCGGCGUUUGCAUAAUAUGAAAGCGAUGCAGGCGUACCAGAUUGGAGAGGCAGGCAAAGGAUGUAUCUGCUAAGGAAGGUUCGGGAACUCGCCAAUACUUGUGGCCUCUCUAUUCCCUGAAAAACAAUAAUGAAGUUAGGCCAGUGAAUACCCUACAGUGGUUCAAGUGAAAGGAGGAAAAAUCACACAUCUCUCACUUUAAAUCAAAGGUAGAUCACAUCCAAAAAAUAAAAUACCUAGAAUAAACCUACCAAAGGAGGCAAAAGACCUGUAUUCCAAAAACUCUUAAGAAGCUGAUGGAAUAAAUUGAAGAUGACACAAACAGAUGGAAGAAAUACCAUGUUCUUGGAUUGCAAGAAUCAGUAUUGUCAAAGUGACCAUACUGCCCAAGACAAUCUAAAUUUUCAGUGCAAUCCCUAUCAAAAUUAUCAAUGGCAUUUUUCUCAGAAGUGGAACAAAAUUUUUAAAAAUUUUAUGGAAACAUAAAAGACCUUGAAUAGCCAAAACAAUCUUGAGAAAGAAGAACAGAACUGGAGGAAUCGUGCUCCUUGACUUCAGACUAUACUACAAAGCUACAGUAUUCAAAACAGAAUGAUAUUGGGAGGAUGGAACCAGACAUAUUAUAGAUCAAUGGAUAGAAAGCCCAGAAAUAAACCCAUGCCCUUUGGUCAAUUAAUCUACAACAAAGGAGGCAAGAACAUACAAUGGAAAAAAGACAGUCUCUUCAAUAAACCAUGCUGGGAAAAUUGGACAGCUACAUGUGAAAGAAUGGCACAAUGAAUUAAGUAUACAGUGUUGUCACUGCAGCGUCUCAGGUCACUGCUGUGGCGUGGGUUUGAUCCCUGGCCUGGGAACUUCUAUAUGCCAUGGGUGUGGCCAAAAAGACAACCAAAAUCCUCCCAAAUAACCAUGAGAUACCACUUCAUACUGUGCCUAUAAAAUGGAAAAUAACAAAUGUCAGUAAUGAUGUGGAAAAGUUAAAAUUUUUGUUCCUUUCGGAGUUCCUGUCAUGGCUCAGUGGUUAACGAAUCCAACUAGGAACCAUGAGGUUGUGGGUUUGACCCCUGGCCUCGCUCAGUGGGUUAAGGAUCCAGCGUUGCUGUGGCUGUGGUGUAGGCUGGUGGCUACAGCUCCGAUUCGACCCCUAGCCUGGGAACCUCCACAUGCUGCAAGUGUGGCCCUAAAAGCAAAAAAAAAAAAAAAAAAAAAAAAUUGUUCUUUUUAUGGGGGACAUCAAACAGUGAGGCUACUGUGAAGAACAGUAUUGUAGUUCCUAAAAAAUUUAAAUAGAGAAUUUUUGUGACCCCAGUUCCAUACCAUGUAUAGUCCUAAGUUAAAGGAAUAAUGUUCAAGUAAACAUUUUGUAUGGAAAUAUGUACAGCCACAACUAUUUGCCAUAGGCAAAGGGUGAAAUUGUUUCAAAUAUCCAUGAGUAGAUGAAUGGCUAAAGAAAGUGGUAUAUUCAUAAAAUGCAGUAUUAUUCAUCCAUAAAUAGGAAUCAAUUACAGAUACAUAGUAUGUCAUGGAUGUUCAUCUUAAUCAUUGUGCUAAGUGAAAGAAACCAGACACAUAAGGGCCUUAUUCUAUUUACAUGGAAUAUGAAGAAGAGGUAAAUCGGUAGGGGCAAAGCAGAUUAGUGGUUGUCAGUGACUAGAGAGGGUACAGGGAAUGGAGAAUGGAGAAUUUUGACCAUAGUGAUGAUUGCACAAAGGCCCCUGAAUUGUAUUAAAAUGGUGAGUUUCAUGUAUGUGAAUUUUACCUCAUUUUUAAAAAUAAAGGAAUUAAUCAUUUAAAAAAAAUAGGUGGUGGGCAAGAUAUAGCUCCCUGGGUAUAGUUUAUUGACUCUUGGUAUUGUUUAUUCAUGGCUAUUUGCAUUGCAACAUAUUUAUUACAAAUAUUUUUUAAUGAGACAGUCUAAAGACAUAUUUAGAAUGUAGUAGGAUAUAAGUUGUCACAAAAUGCUGGCUUUCAAAAUUUAUAUACAAAUCAUUAGAAUCAAUAUGCUGUUAGCCCUGUAGAGGAUUGGCAAAGACUUGAGCAUGUCCCACAUAAACCACAGUGGUAGGUCCUCAAGUUCAUUUGGCAACAGAGAAACAGCAAAAAUUAUAAGCAGUCCUAAUGUAUACUUUCUAGAAUGGGUCCAAUAAAAUGGAUUGAGGAUUCUAAAUAUUGGUGAGUAUUUUACUAACCAGUAUCUUUCACACAGGGAUGGUGUGAGUAUAAUUGGGGAUAGUCACAUUGGAAAACUUUUCAUGAUACGCCAUAAUACUGAACAUGCUCAUAUUUUCUGACUUAGAAAUUUCACUACAGUGUAUAUGCUUAUAAAGAUUGAUGUGUAUAUGUUCCCUAAAGACAUGUUAAUGUCUGUAGCAUUAUUAUUCUUAAUGGCUCUAAGCUGGAAAACAUGCAAAUGACUGUCAACAGAAUAGACACAUCAAUGGUAGUGGUGUUUCCUUUUUGUGGAUUACUACACAUUAUUGAAAUAGAACGAACUGCAACUACAUGUUAUGCAGCUAUCUCCUAUUAUUUUCAGCAAAGGAGCAGAAUGUAUUAACCAAAAGUUGGAAUAGUGGUUCAUCUGGGUAAAAAUGUAAUUAAUUAUAGCAGUGCACAUGUCACUUUAAUGAUGCUAAUAAUUUUUUCAAGUUUGUUAAAUUAUUCUUUGUGUACGUAUAUAAUUUAUACAGUCUUCUGUGUAUCAUAUUUUAUAAUAUAAUAAAAAUAAAAUUUCACUCAAAUACCAAUUUUUGAGGAUCCUUCUCAGGAUGUAUGGGUAUACCUUGGAGAUAUGUGGGUUCAGUUCCAGACAACCACAGUAAAGUAAAUAUCACAAUAAUUUGAGUUACAUGAGUUUUGUUGAUUUACUAGUGCACAUAAAAGUCAAGUUUGCACUGUACUGUAGUUUCUUCUGUACAAUAGCAUCAUGUCUAAAAAAAAAGUACAUACCUUAAUUUAAAAAUUUUUGGAGUUCCUGUCGUGGUUCAGUGGAAAUGAAUCCAACUAGGAACCAUGAGGUUGUGGGUUCGAUCCCUGGCCUCCACUCAGCUGGUUAAGGAUCUGGUGUUGCUGUGAACUGUGGUGUAGGUCGCAGACGUGACUCGGAUCUGGUGUUGCUGUGGCUGGCAUAGGCCAGCAGCUACUGCUCCAAUUAGACCCCUAGCCUGGGAACCUCCAUAUGCCGUGGGUGCGGCCCUAAAAAUGACAGAAAUGAAAAUUCAUUGCUGAAAAAUGCUAAGCAUCAUCUGAGCCUUUAUCAAGUUAGUCGUGACAUCAAAAAUUACUGAUCAUCCUAAGAAAUAUAAUUGCAAAAAAGUUUUAAGUAUAUACUUCUGAAGUUUCUCCUAAUGGCAUACAGCAAAUGAUGAAAUACUUAAGAGUUUUCUUGAAACUGAAGAGCAAGAUUGUGUGACAUUCAAACUACCACUCACUCAUUCUUCCCAUUUCAACUCAUUAGGAUGACUCUACUCUAAGUAUUGGAGCCAAAAAUAAAAAUAUCUCUGUCUUUUAGCUAGCAGUUCAGGUCUGAAGUCCAGAAAGGGAUGAUGCCAAAAUUUCUUAUUCUCCAGCUCAGUUUUGUAGAUCCUCAGUUCCACACAAUUGCAGCUAACAGGAUGAAGAUUUAUUCCUCUCCUCCCCACUCAGACACAUUGAAUAGGAGCUCUUCCUCAGGUUUAGUAUCCUUAGAAUACUGAACCCCCUGUCUUCACCGUAGGUCAUUUGUACCUUUGAAGUUCCAUAUUAGGUGGGGCAAAUUGAGAACACAGCAAUCCCCCAGUUUAAUACUUAAAAAUCUGUAUUGUCACUUUGAGGACAGGUUGUCACUAUCUCUCUAGCUCUUUGGAUCUGGGUGACAGAUUCUGUUAAGUAGGACAGGCAGAACAUAAAAAUAGAGAGCCCUGAAGCCCUCCCUAAUGCACCUACUUUUAUUUUAUUUUAUUUUACUUUAUUAUUUUACUUUUAUAUUUUUAUAACUGCACCUGAGGCACAUAAAAGUUCCUGGGCUAGGAGUUGAAUUGAAGCUAUAGCUGCAGGCCUAUGCCACAGUCACAGCAAUGUUGGAUAUGAGCCACAUCUGCAACCUCUGCCACAGCUUGCGGCAGUGCUGGAUCCUUAACCCACUGAGCAAGGCCGGGGAAUUGAACCUGCAUCCUUAUGGACACUAUGUUGGGUUCCUAACCCACAAUGGGAACUCCCUAAACUACCGUUAUUUUAAAGAGUAUGGUGACAUUGAAGCCUAUGGGCAAACCCCGAAAUGGUAGAUAUUUCAGUAGUAAGUAAUUAGAUAGCUGGUACUUCAUGAGCGCAACUUGCCUAACUGUAGGCUAGCUAAUUUUCCACAGAGAACCAUGAAAAGCAUUGAGAGCAUUCCUUUUGUCUGAACAAAUACUGGCAUCACUCACUACCACUGCAGUGGGCCUGAAUUUAACUGUAUUAGGAUAUUUAGUAAUAUAUGUUAUAAAUCAUAGAAAAAUGAACUUGUAUUUAGUGUAGCCAACAGCUCAAUUUGUUCAAGACUAGAGACCACUUGACUCCUUGUAUAUUUGUCAUUCCAGGAUAACUGGACAUUUCCAGGGCUAAACCCUCUGAGAAGCAAUAUCAUAAGCUUAACAUUGUGUGAGAAAUAGACUUCAGUAAGAGUCCAAUGAAUCACUAAACAUUAAAAAUUUAACUGAUAACUACCAUCCCUGGAGUUGUGCUUAACUAGCCAAUAUUGCUACCAUCAUUUAUGUCUUUUUUCCAACUGCAAAAAAAAUUGAGACAUGCAAAAAAAAAAAAAAA